CGUGUGGCUUUAUCAACAAUUGUAAUAACACUGAACGGUGACCAGUGAGAUGCCCUAACUGCAGUGACGUCAUUUAGAACUGUUCUACAAUCCUGACAGGUUUGGUCAGUUAUACAGCUAGAACAGUUUUAGACAGAUGACCAAACCUUUAACACAAAAUAGACUGACACGAUCGCAAGAUAUUCUCGAUUAAAGCUAGAUUGACACUGCC
rnacentral:lncRNA from 1 species